rnacentral:rRNA from 1 species
AUUGAACGCUGGCGGCAGGCCUUACACAUGCAAGUCGAACGGCAGCACGGGAGCAAUCCUGGUGGCGAGUGGCGAACGGGUGAGUAAUAUAUCGGAACGUGCCCAGUCGUGGGGGAUAACGUAGCGAAAGCUACGCUAAUACCGCAUACGAUCUACGGAUGAAAGCGGGGGAUCGCAAGACCUCGCGCGAUUGGAGCGGCCGAUAUCAGAUUAGGUAGUUGGUGAGGUAAAGGCUCACCAAGCCGACGAUCUGUAGCUGGUCUGAGAGGACGACCAGCCACACUGGGACUGAGACACGGCCCAGACUCCUACGGGAGGCAGCAGUGGGGAAUUUUGGACAAUGGGCGCAAGCCUGAUCCAGCAAUGCCGCGUGCAGGAUGAAGGCCUUCGGGUUGUAAACUGCUUUGUACGGAACGAAACGGUGAGCUCUAAUACAGUUUGCUAAUGACGGUACCGUAAGAAUAAGCACCGGCUAACUACGUG